rnacentral:lncRNA from 1 species
AUACAUACACAUCUGUGGGCAGCAAGCUCUUCUGAUUCUCUUUUGGAAUCCCUCCCACCCCCUACAUACACACCUCUCUGGCCUUAAACAUUUCUUGCAACAAGGGGACAACCACUGCCCUUUCCUGCCCCGCCCCCGCCCCCCACACACACCCGGUUAGGCACCAGUCGCCCCGCAGCCAUGGCCGCAGCCGGAAAAGAAUAGAGAGCUCGCUGUGCUGCAAUUAGACGAAAACAUCCUGUUAUGAGAGGCAGGGACGGUGGAAGCACAGCUAUCUGAGAGUGCGUUAAUCAGUCAGGAUAGGGGCUUGGAAGCCCAGGGCUUGAAUUUGGUGAAUUCGUGCAAUUUGGAGCAUUUCGACUUAGUAUUGAUCCCUAAACUCAAUUUUGAAAACAGCCUCCAUUGCAGAAGUGUGGGUUGUGUUAUCCCAGUAUUUGCACGCAUCGA